rnacentral:rRNA from 1 species
GAGGAAGCCCCGAGAUGGGAUCUUAGACACGAUCCCAGACCCUACGGGGUGCAGCAGUUGCGAAACCUUCACAAUGUGGGAAACCACGAUGAGGAGAUUCCAAGUGCCAACACCCAGUGUUGGCUUUUCAUCUGUCUAAAACGCAGUUGGAAUAAGGGCCGGGUAAGACUGGUGCCAGCCGCCGCGGUAACACCAGCGGCUCGAGUGGUGACCUUUAUUAUUGAGCUUAAAGCGUCCGUAGCCGGUCUAGUAAAUCUCUGGGUAAAUCGAACGGCUUAACCGUUCGAAUACCAGGGAGACUGCUAGACUUGGGGCCGGGAGAGGCUAGAGGUACUCCUGGGGUAGAGGUAAAAUUCCGUAAUCUUAGGAGGACCACCAGUGGCGAAAGCGUCUAGCUAAAACGGACCCGACGGUGAGGGACGAAGCCCUGGGGCGCGAACCGGAUUAGAUACCCGGGUAGUCCAGGGUGUAAACGAUGUGGGUUUGGUGUCGACAGUCUUACGCGGGCAGUCGGUGCCGUAGAGAAAUUGUUAAGCCCUCCGCUUGGGAAGAACGGUCGCAAGACU